rnacentral:rRNA from 1 species
CCUACGGGAGGCAGCAGUGAGGAAUAUUGGUCAAUGGACGAGAGUCUGAACCAGCCAAGUAGCGUGAAGGAUGACUGCCCUAUGGGUUGUAAACUUCUUUUAUAUGGGAAUAAAACGUUCCACGUGUGGGAUUUUGUAUGUACCAUAUGAAUAAGGAUCGGCUAACUCCGUGCCAGCAGCCGCGGUAAUACGGAGGAUCCGAGCGUUAUCCGGAUUUAUUGGGUUUAAAGGGAGCGUAGGUGGAUUGUUAAGUCAGUUGUGAAAGUUUGCGGCUCAACCGUAAAAUUGCAGUUGAAACUGGCAGUCUUGAGUACAGUAGAGGUGGGCGGAAUUCGUGGUGUAGCGGUGAAAUGCUUAGAUAUCACGAAGAACUCCGAUUGCGAAGGCAGUUCACUGGACUGCAACUGACACUGAGGCUCGAAAGCGUGGGUAUCAAACAGGAUUAGAUACCCCUGUAGUC